AGUGAACGCUGGCGGUAGGCCUAACACAUGCCAGUCGAACGGCAGCACAGUAAGAGCUUGCUCUUACGGGUGGCGAGUGGCGGACGGGUGAGGAAUACAUCGGAAUCUACUUUUUCGUGGGGGAUAACGUAGGGAAACUUACGCUAAUACCGCAUACGACCUACGGGUGAAAGCAGGGGAUCUUCGGACCUUGCGCGAUUGAAAGAGCCGAUGUCGGAUUAGCUAGUUGGCGGGGUAAAGGCCCACCAAGGCGACGAUCCGUAGCUGGUCUGAGAGGAUGAACAGCCACACUGGAACUGAGACACGGUCCAGACUCCUACGGGAGGCAGCAGUGGGGAAUAUUGGACAAUGGGCGCAAGCCUGAUCCAGCCAUACCGCGUGGGUGAAGAAGGCCUUCGGGUUGUAAAGCCCUUUUGUUGGGAAAGAAAAGCAGCAGGUUAAUACCCCGCUGUUCUGACGGUACCCAAAGAAUAAGCACCGGCUAACUUCGUG
rnacentral:rRNA from 1 species